ACGAACGAAGUUUAAUUUUUAUUACUGUCACGAGUGAAAAGACAAAAGAGCUUUCAUCGAUUAUUGUCUCUCCAUUGGAUGCUGGAGAAAUCAAACUCGAUAUUCGCGAAGAUAAGGAAAACCGUUUCGAAGAAAAGGAAUUCGCCAUCCUCGGCAGAAAGUAUCUUUGCGGAUCUUAAUCAAGAGGACGAGAUUACAUGUGUAUAUCCACACACUCGACGCAACGCAGCUCUUCGCGUAAGAUGCGUAAUGGAAACUUUUUGCCUCGAUAGAGGUAUAUUUGCCUACCUUACUUAUUUCGGUGCUUUUGUUCGGAGAAUUCGAUUCGACGCUGACGAUUCUGCGAUUAAAAUCUGAUGAAAAUUGUUUACGCAUUCCUCGAACGAGAGCGAGUAACAACAAGUAGCAAACCUUUUGGAUUUACGAAGUUUCUGAUCGCGCGCGCGCGCGCGCGCGCACACAGGUCGAGCCAUUCGCGAACAGAGAUAUAUGUACGAACUGUUUGGUAUAUUCGUUGCAUCGUUGUUUCGGAUAAAAAUAUUCAUAUAGGACGAAUUUCAAAAUUUCAAACAUCAAUAAUAUAAUACUAAAUGUACUGCACAAUGUUCGCGCGUAUUUACCGUUUAAAUUAUCUUUUACCGUGUUUAUCUAAACCGCCGCAGACGCUACGUCACGUAUAUAUGUAGAAACGGUUGAAUAUCGUUCAAUUGUCGCGUGCAUCCAGUUCUUCGUAAAUAGAACUUGCCUUUUUUCUCUCGCCUCCUCGGUCAUCUCGACCGAUCUCGACGCACGACCUUCCGUAUUGGUCUGAAACUCUGCCGCACGCAAGAAAAACCUGCGAUCUCGCGAUGUUUGCUGCAGCGUUGCUUCUCGACGCGUUACGCAACUGCCAACGAAUUAAAUAAUAUAAAAAAACGACGAUUCUUCGUUCGCCAAUCGGUAACAUUGAGAUAAAAUUUGUGAAAAAAUUUUAAAUAGAAAAUUUGAAAAAGUUACGAUACCGAUGCGCGCGUUGUUGCGCGAGUCGAAGGUCGAAGGUCGCGAUCGUUUAGGGACGUAGGAAGGGCAUCGCGAGACUGGUCAGGGAACGACAAACAUCCACAAUAAUUUUACGAAAGUAUAGAAGUCAUGUAAUCGAUCUUUGUUCUUGUAGAAAAAUCAUUAAAUCUUAUCUUUACAGUA